CUAUUCUCUUUCUACCUCUAUCUUUCUUUUAUUUUAAGAAAUAUGAGCUCUCCAUUUAAACUCACAUGGGACGUUUUACAGACGGCUUGAUGUCCCAUGCAGUGCAAUUUUUAGCAGAAACCGAAGAGGAGGAGGAAGCUAAGGCAUUAGAGUUCUAUUUUCCGCUUGAGCUCUUUCUCCAUCCGGCUCCCGAGACGAUCGAAGGCAGGAAACUAUAGCCAUCCUCCAGCCUAAUCAAGAUCUUCAUCUUCUACAGCCGCUUGAAAGGUGAAAUUUCGUCUCUCUCUAAAUUUCCACCCUGCUCAAGAGCCCUUAGGUUUUCUGUAAGUAAAAGUUUCAUACUUUAAAUUCCAACUUAUUAAGUUAAUCAAUAAUAACUUAGAGGCGUCUAGGGUUUACCUUUCAUCUUCUCUUUUCGUCGUUGCUGUUCGGCUUCGUUGCUUUGCAGGAGGUGUAUAGAUUGCACGCGUCGCUUCUUCGGCUCCUUCAUGGCUGUUCGAAUUCGCUCCUUCGACGACUUUCCCUUCCUGUCGGAUCGGAAGUUAGUACAUUUUGAUCGGAAGAAACAACGGGACCUCGCUGGAUGUGAAGAAAGGCCCGCGGAAUCUGUGCUCUUGCCGUGUUAGGUGACAGAAGACUGUGUUCGUCGCUGCUCGGACCAACGUGAUCAUUGAUUAUCGUCUAUACAGUUGGCACGACAGGUCAAAUGUUUUACACACUUGGGAACUUUUUUAGGUUGAACACUUCAAGUAGGAUUUAACGUAAAUCUUCAUUCAUAUAACAUUUUUUGUUCGAUGAAAUCGUCUUACAAAAUGGACUGUAAGAUCACGUUCAUAUCAUCAAGAUCGUUCAAGUGGGUAUGUUCUCGUACAAAUAGACGUCAU